rnacentral:rRNA from 1 species
CCAGACUCCUACGGGAGGCAGCAGUGGGGGAUAUUGCACAAUGGGGGAAACCCUGAUGCAGCAACGCCGCGUGAGUGAAGAAGUCAUUCGUGAUGUAAAGCUCUAUCAGCAGGGAAGAAAAUGACGGUACCUGAGUAAGAAGCCCCGGCUAACUACGUGCCAGCAGCCGCGGUAAUACGUAGGGGGCAAGCGUUAUCCGGAUUUAUUGGGUUUAAAGGGUGCGUAGGCGGAAUGCCAAGUCAGCGGUAAAAUGGCGGGGUUCAACCUCGCUCCGCCGUUGAAACUGGCGUUCUUGAGUGGGCGAGAAGUAUGCGGAAUGCGUGGUGUAGCGGUGAAAUGCAUAGAUAUCACGCAGAACUCCGAUUGCGAAGGCAGCAUACCGGCGCCCAACUGACGCUGAAGCACGAAAGCGUGGGUAUCGAACAGGAUUAGAUACCCUAGUACCA